GACGAACGCUGGCGGCGUGCUUAACACAUGCAAGUCGAACGAAGUGGCGAACGGGUGAGUAACGCGUAAUCAACCUGCCCUUCAGAGGGGGACAACAGUUGGAAACGACUGCUAAUACCGCAUACUGAAGGAGGGGAUUGCGUCAGAUUAGCUAGUUGGAGGGGUAACGGCCCACCAAGGCGAUGAUCAGGAGCCGGUCUGAGAGAAGGACCGGCUACAUUGGGACUGAGACACGUCCCAGACUCCUACGGGAGACAGAAGUGGGGAAUCUUACGCAAUGGACGAAAGUCUGACGUAGCAAGGCCGCGUGAGUGAUGACUGCCUUCGGGUUGUAAAGCUCUGUUAAUCGGGACGCGGUACCGGAAUAGAAAGCCACGGCUAACUACGUGCAGGCCGCCGCGGUAAUUC
rnacentral:rRNA from 1 species